AGUGAACGCUGGCGGUAGGCCUAACACAUGCAAGUCGAACGGCAGCACAGUAAGAGCUUGCUCUUACGGGUGGCGAGUGGCGGACGGGUGAGGAAUACAUCGGAAUCUACUUUUUCGUGGGGGAUAACGUAGGGAAACUUACGCUAAUACCGCAUAAGACCUACGGGUGAAAGCAGGGGAUCUUCGGACCUUGCGCGAUUGAAUGAGCCGAUGUCGGAUUAGCUAGUUGGCGGGGUAAAGGCCCACCAAGGCGACGAUCCGUAGCUGGUCUGAGAGGAUGAUCGGCCACACUGGAACUGGGACACGGUCCAGACUCCUACGGGAGGCAGCAGUGGGGAAUAUUGGACAAUGGGCGCAAGCCUGAUCCAGCCAUACCGCGUGGGUGAAGAAGGCCUUCGGGUUGUAAAGCCCUUUUGUUGGGAAAGAAAAGCAGCAGAUUAAUACCCCGCUGUUCUGACGGUACCCAAAGAAUAAGCACCGGCUAACUUCGUG
rnacentral:rRNA from 1 species